AAGUACUGCCAAAAAGUUUUAGUAUUUCGAUAUUUAUUCAUGGGUUUCAUCAGGUCCCGUUCCACAGGUGUAUAAAAUCAAGCACCUUAAUUAUCAAUGCAGACUGCAUGGUGCUUGAUUAAUACACUUGUGGAAAGGGACCUGAUGAAACCCAUGAAUAUAGAUAGUAGCGGAACAUGUCGUGUAAAAGAUUAUGAUCAAUUGCCAAUAACAAGGCAUGCUUGGCAAACAUCCCAUUCCCAGACACAAUACUACUUCAUCAACCAGCCAGCCAACCAACCAAGCCAUCAACCAACCUCUUCAUCACAUUGAGGACACUGAUCGGCAGGUAGCAUAGUGCGAACACAAAGAGGACCACGAUCAGCAUGCGAGCCGUCUUCCGCCGGGCUUUCACCUGCUUGACCUCUGCCGUCACUGCGCUGGUUUUCACCUUGACAGAUGGACCGGUGCCCGAUGCCAAGGUGGCACACUGCAGAACACUUGAACACUCCCAGAGCUUUUAGAUCUCAAAAACCAUACCUGCUGACACCAAAGCUUGUGACAAAUUUGGAUGUAUGCCAGGACCAUGAGGCACAGUGGAGCAAAGUAUGUGAAGAUGAAAAAACAGGUGUGGUAGACCUUGGGGUAGAUUUCAUCUGUGACAGAGAGAAUGAGAAUAAAUACAUCAACUAGGAAAUAUAUCACUCUAAAUAACAACACUGAGGCUCCUGUUUUUAUUGUCUUCCUAGUUGAUGCUUGUCAUUAUAAUCAUUAUAGUAUUUUUUCUGAAAAUAGUCUGCAACAUGCAACAAGCAACAUUUAAA